rnacentral:rRNA from 1 species
CCUACGGGGGGCAGCAGUGAGGAAUAUUGGUCAAUGGGCGGAAGCCUGAACCAGCCAAGUAGCGUGCAGGAUGACGGCCCUACGGGUUGUAAACUGCUUUUAUACGGGAAUAACGCGCCUUACGUGUAGGGCUUUGCAUGUACCGUAUGAAUAAGGACCGGCUAAUUCCGUGCCAGCAGCCGCGGUAAUACGGAAGGUCCGGGCGUUAUCCGGAUUUAUUGGGUUUAAAGGGAGCGUAGGCCGCAUGUCAAGCGUGCUGUGAAAUGUCCGGGCUCAACCCGGGCCUUGCAGCGCGAACUGGCGAGCUUGAGUGCGCGGAAGGAAGGCGGAAUUCGACGUGUAGCGGUGAAAUGCUUAGAUAUGACGAAGAACCCCGAUUGCGAAGGCAGCUUGCUGGAGCGGAACUGACGCUGAUGCUCGAAAGCGCGGGUAUCGAACAGGAUUAGAUACCCCUGUAGUC